GACGAACGCUGGCGGCGUGCUUAACACAUGCAAGUCGAACGGAAAGGCCCUGCUUUUGUGGGGUGCUCGAGUGGCGAACGGGUGAGUAACACGUGAGUAACCUGCCCUUGACUUUGGGAUAACUUCAGGAAACUGGGGCUAAUACCGGAUAGGAGCUCCUGCUGCAUGGUGGGGGUUGGAAAGUUUCGGCGGUUGGGGAUGGACUCGCGGCUUAUCAGCUUGUUGGUGGGGUAGUGGCUUACCAAGGCUUUGACGGGUAGCCGGCCUGAGAGGGUGACCGGCCACAUGGGGACGGGGAACCGGCCCAACCUCCUACGGGAGGCAGGAGGGGGGAAUUUUGCACAAGGGGCGGAGGCCGGAUGCAGUAACCCCGGGUGGGGGAUGGCGGCCUUCGGGUUGUAACCCGCUUUCCCCUGGAACGAAGCGUGAGGGAGGGUAAUGGGGAAAAAAGCACCGGCUACCUACGG
rnacentral:rRNA from 1 species